GAUGAACGCUAGCUACAGGCUUAACACAUGCAAGUCGAGGGGUAACGAGAGGAAAGCUUGAUUUCCUUGUCGACGACCGGCGCACGGGUGAGUAACGCGUAUCCAACCUGCCCCCAACUAGGGAAUAACCUUGCGAAAGUAAGACUAAUACCCUAUAAUUUCCUCAGAUGACAUCUGACGAGGAAUAAAGAUUUAUCGGUUGUGGAUGGGGAUGCGUCUGAUUAGCUUGUUGGCGGGGUAACGGCCCACCAAGGCAACGAUCAGUAGGGGUUCUGAGAGGAAGGUCCCCCACAUUGGAACUGAGACACGGUCCAAACUCCUACGGGAGGCAGCAGUGAGGAAUAUUGGUCAAUGGGCGGAAGCUUGAACCAGCCAAGUAGCGUGCAGGAUGACGGCCCUAUGGGUUGUAAACUGCUUUUAUACAGGAAUAAAGUUAGCCACGUGUGGUUAUUUGUAGGUACUGUAUGAAUAAGGACCGGCUAAUUCCGUGCCAGCCGCCGCCGUAA
rnacentral:rRNA from 1 species